rnacentral:rRNA from 1 species
GAUGAACGCUGGCGGCGUGCCUAAUACAUGCAAGUCGAGCGAACAGACGAGGAGCUUGCUCCUCUGACGUUAGCGGCGGACGGGUGAGUAACACGUGGAUAACCUACCUAUAAGACUGGGAUAACUUCGGGAAACCGGAGUUAAUACCGGAUAACAUGUUGAACCGCAUGGUUCAACAGUGAAAGACGGUCUUGCUGUCACUUAUAGAUGGAUCCGCGCCGCAUUAGCUAGUUGGUAAGGUAACGGCUUACCAAGGCAACGAUGCGUAGCCGACCUGAGAGGGUGAUCGGCCACACUGGAACUGAGACACGGUCCAGACUCCUACGGGAGGCAGCAGUAGGGAAUCUUCCGCAAUGGGCGAAAGCCUGACGGAGCAACGCCGCGUGAGUGAAGAAGGUCUUCGGAUCGUAAAACUCUGUUAUUAGGGAAGAACAAAUGUGUAAGUAACUAUGCACGUCUUGACGGUACCUAAUCAGAAAGCCACGGCUAACUACGUG